rnacentral:rRNA from 1 species
AGAGUUUGAUCCUGGCUCAGGACGAACGCUGGCGGCACGCUUAACACAUGCAAGUCGAACGAGAGAAGAGGAGCUUGCUUUUCUGAUCUAGUGGCGGACGGGUGAGUAACACGUGAGCAAUCUGCCUUUCAGAGGGGGAUACCGAUUGGAAACGAUCGUUAAUACCGCAUAACAUAAUUGAACCGCAUGAUUUGAUUAUCAAAGAUUUAUCGCUGAAAGAUGAGCUCGCGUCUGAUUAGCUAGUUGGUAAGGUAACGGCUUACCAAGGCGACGAUCAGUAGCCGGACUGAGAGGUUGAUCGGCCACAUUGGGACUGAGACACGGCCCAGACUCCUACGGGAGGCAGCAGUGGGGAAUAUUGCACAAUGGAGGAAACUCUGAUGCAGCGAUGCCGCGUGAGGGAAGAAGGUUUUAGGAUUGUAAACCUCUGUCUUCAGGGACGAAAAAAGACGGUACCUGAGGAGGAAGCUCCGGCUAACUACGUGCCAGCAGCCGCGGUAAUACGUAGGGAGCGAGCGUUGUCCGGAAUUACUGGGUGUAAAGGGAGCGUAGGCGGGAUCGCAAGUCAGAUGUGAAAACUAUGGGCUUAACCCAUAAACUGCAUUUGAAACUGUGGUUCUUGAGUGAAGUAGAGGUAAGCGGAAUUCCUAGUGUAGCGGUGAAAUGCGUAGAUAUUAGGAGGAACAUCAGUGGCGAAGGCGGCUUACUGGGCUUUAACUGACGCUGAGGCUCGAAAGCGUGGGGAGCAAACAGGAUUAGAUACCCUGGUAGUCCACGCCGUAAACGAUGAUUACUAGGUGUGGGGGGACUGACCCCUUCCGUGCCGCAGCAAACGCAAUAAGUAAUCCACCUGGGGAGUACGACCGCAAGGUUGAAACUCAAAGGAAUUGACGGGAGCCCGCACAAGCAGUGGAGUAUGUGGAUUAAUUCGAAGCAACGCGAAGAACCUUACCAGGUCUUGACAUCGUAUGCAUAGCUCAGAGAUGAGUGAAAUCUCUUCGGAGACAUAUAGACAGGUGGUGCAUGGUUGUCGUCAGCUCGUGUCGUGAGAUGUUGGAUUAAGUCCCGCAACGAGCGCAACCCUUACUGUUAGUUGCUACGCAAGAGCACUCUAGCAGGACUGCCGUCGACAAAACGGAGGAAGGUGGGGAUGACGUCAAAUCAUCAUGCCCCUUAUGACCUGGGCCUCACACGUACUACAAUGGCUGUCAACAGAGGGAAGCAAAGCCGCGAGGUGGAGCGAACCCCUAAAAG